rnacentral:lncRNA from 1 species
UGCCUUGGAACAGCAGCCCGAGGGCCACAUGGGAUGCCCUUCCAGGGAACCUGGAGAGUGGUAGGGACAGCACGGGCCUCAGUGAUGUAGCACUGUAGUGUGUGUGAGGGGACUGGGCAUGGUGGCAGAGCUGAACACUGCCACUUCUUGGAGCUCUGCUGGGUGUUGUUUGAAAGGACAUGAUGGGUGUGAUAUAGCUGGACUUUCAGAGCAAACCUGGUGCUUCUGGCACCCUCAAGGAGCUAGCCUGGGCCACUUGACCCCAUUUACCAGCCAAAGAGGAGAGUGUAGGAGAAAAGCAGAAUUUGAGCAAUGUGAAUGAAUAGGGAGAACAGAUACAAAGGUCCAGUGGACCCCAGGUCCAUCUUUGUGGUCACCCCAGGUCCUUCUUUGGGUUGACUCCAGGUCCUUCUUUAGAGUGACCCC